CCAGGUGAAUACAGCUCAUCCCUGAUGUUCAGUUAAAGUCUGUUUCCCAUCCUUGAGAACAGAUGGUGACUCCACCUCCAUACUGCUAUCUUCUUCUUCUCACAAGGCAAAUGGAAGAAGAAAAAGCACAACAAGCUUUGAGAGAGGAACACGAAUGCUGGGCCUCCCCUAGAGCGCCAAGGAGGACGGUAAACAGGUCUGAAACUGUUAGCACAGCUGUGCUUGACUGAGGAGCCAGAAACACUCUCCAGAAGAAAGAGGGAGAAGGGCCCAUCCAACCUCAGAUAGAAGUUGAAGUCUUCAGAAUUUGAGCCUUUCUCAAUAACCAGUUCUUAAAUGGAAUAUUGUCUACAGUGAUUCUCUAACUCACCACAUGGCUACAAGAUCCACUAAGCCAUCAGAAAGGCCUAGGAGUCAUGACUGACUUCUUCCCGGUCCCACAGAAGCAUUCAGCGUCUGCAUUAGCACAACUGCCUCCAAACUAGUCUUCUUUGCUGCAAUCUUCUUUCUGCACUCGUCCUUUCUAAUUAGUCUCUCUCUGUUGU